ACGGGAGGCAGCAGUAGGGAAUAUUGCACAAUGGGGGAAACCCUGAUGCAGCAACGCCACGUGUGGGAAGAAGCAUUUCGGUGUGUAAACCACUGUCGUGAGGGAAUAAUGCUAUUUUUCGGAAUAGUUGAAUGUACCUCGAAAGGAAGCACCGGCAAACUUCGUGCCAGCAGCCGCGGUAAUACGAGGGGUGCAAGCGUUGUUCGGAAUCACUGGGCGUAAAGGGAGCGUAGGCGGAAAUGCAAGCAAUCUGUACAAUACCGGGGCCCAACCCCGGACCUGCAGUCCGGACUGCACCUCUUGGAUAGUUCAGGGGCAAGCGGAAUUCCUGGUGUAGCGGUGGAAUGCGUAGAGAUCAGGAAGAACACCGAUGGCGAAGGCAGCUUGCUGGGGACUUAUCGACGCUCAUGCUCGAAAGUGCGGGUAGCAAACAGGAUUAGAUACCCUGGUA
rnacentral:rRNA from 1 species